UUUCCUUUAGCUUAAGAUUAAAGCAUUAAUUUGAAGCGUUAAAGAUAAUUUCAUUAAGGAAA
rnacentral:tRNA from 1 species